CAAAGUUGAUCGUGUUUAUGACGUCGAAUAUCGACGUCAUAAACACCUAAAUUGAUCGUGUUUAUGACGUCGAAUAUCGACGUCAUAAACACCAAAA